rnacentral:rRNA from 1 species
UGAACGCUGGCGGUAUGCCUAACACAUGCAAGUCGAACGAGGUAGCAAUACCUAGUGGCGGACGGGUGAGGAAUACGUAGGGAUCUGCCUUUAAGUGGGGGAUAACCCGGGGAAACCCGGAUUAAUACCGCAUGAUCUCGCAAGAGCAAAGUGGGGGAUCGCAAGACCUCACGCUUUUAGAGGAACCUACGUCGGAUUAGCUUGUUGGUGAGGUAAUGGCUCACCAAGGCGACGACGGGUAGCCGGCCUGAGAGGGCGACCGGCCACACUGGGACUGAGAUACGGCCCAGACUCCUACGGGAGGCAGCAGUGGGGAAUAUUGCACAAUGGGCGGAAGCCUGAUGCAGCAACGCCGCGUGCGGGAUGACGGCCUUCGGGUUGUAAACCGCUUUCAGUAGGGACGAAGCUAACGUGACGGUACCUACAGAAGAAGGACCGGCUAACUACGUGCCAGCAGCCGCGGUAAUACGUAGGGUGCAAGCGUUGUCCGGAAUUAUUGGGCGUAAAGGGCUUGUAGGCGGUCCGUCGCGUCAGGAGUGAAAACUCGGGGCUUAACCCCGAGCCUGCUUUUGAUACGGGCGGACUAGAGGGAUGCAGGGGAGAACGGAAUUCCUGGUGGAGCGGUGGAAUGCGCAGAUAUCAGGAGGAACACCGGUGGCGAAGGCGGUUCUCUGGGCAUCACCUGACGCUGAGAAGCGAAAGCGUGGGGAGCAAACAGGCUUAGAUACCCUGGUAGU